AAAUUGUGUCAAAUGUACCAAAAUGGCCUUUAAUCUUGUGAUCCUAAACUUGUCAUGUGAAAAGUUGAAAUUAAAAUAUUAUCAAAAAGAAAAAGAGGUCAUUCCUUUUGAAACAGUCUAAAAAAGUAAGUAGGUUAUUUUUUUUUAAACUGAGGGAGUAGUAACUAGUAGGAUGCAGCUUGUGCUGUGCACGGGCCCAAUGAUUUGUCAAUUUACAGUGUUAUUUAUUUCAUAUUUUUUGGUUCGUCUCAGUUAGAGCCAAAGAAACAAUGGAAGCAACUUAAGAGACAGCAUAUUAUUACUGUCAAUUGCCAUAUCAAGUCCCAGAGACCAUGGACCAAGUACCUCAUGAAUCAUUUAAAAAGGUGUGAAUGUUUCAAGUAUCAGACCAACGGAAAAGAGAAUUCAACAUUAUUUUCAAAAACUGGUGUUUUGCUCCAAUUAUUUUAUUGAUUGUGAAUUCUCCAUAUAAUCGUGUUAGUGAGCCUGUAAUGCAAUAAAGUAGGAAGAGGUUGCAGCCAAACCCAACACAAGUCAACAAGCAAAUGCUCCUGCCAUGAUGAGUGCUCUUGGAGAUGUGAUAUACCUAUAACAUUUUUUCAAAAAAAUGCAGUGGAGUGUGAGGCUUUCUAUACAACAUAUUUUUAAAGAAUGUGUACCAAGAAAGCACCAUUUUUGAAGCAGGAAGAAAAGAAUAGAUAAAUACGUAUUUAAGAUUUAUAAACUGGAGAUACCCAUUGACGACAACAAUGGAGUACUCAGUUAAAGAAUUUGUUGCAAAACAGAAGCUUUAUAUGUAAUUGAUUUGUCCACAGAAAGGCUAUAAUAGAGAUCUCGAGCAGUAAGGUAACUGGACCAGAUGUCGCUUAGCUCUUGCCUAUUAGAUGUUCGGCAAUGAUGACGCAACGACAAUCUCAGCAACUCAGGACCAUGGGUUCGAGAAGAAAAUGGAGUGAACUGGUUUGGAGUUCUAGAGGAGCAUGAAUAAAAGAAUUUAAAACAUUCCUGGAAGCUCUUGUGCUUUAACUUGCGUUGAGCAAGCAGAACACCGUAAGUUGGACAAUUUUUUGAAUCAUAAGUCCCACAGUUGUAGGAUCUAGAAAUAACCCCCUGCACGACCAAACCUUUUUAUAACUAAAUCUCGACAGCCUCGAUACAAAUGAGACAACACAAAAGGAGCCAAAGCAAGCUUCCCGCCGUCGGCAAGAGCAACGGCUAAUUGGCUCCAUUCUUUUGUUACCUUCUCCAGUCGAUCAACCCAAUUAAUCCACAGUUUACUUGGAUUUGGCCAUGACUUCCAAGUUCUACCUUUGUUCCACUCAGAAUCUAGAGAGUGUAAAAAGAGUUUUUCUUUUUCUCUAAGGGAUAAAUGGCAGAAGCUCCGAAAGAGACCCAUUCCUAAAGCAUGGACCUAAUAUAAAUUCAGAAGAACUUGUAGGAAUAGGAACAAAAACCUCAGUAACAAGCAAAUCACUAUUCCACUCCUUCAUCUUCUGCUCUAGAGUGGUGGCAAGUGAUGACGCUUCUGUAACUGGAGUACAACGUAUUCCUUUGUCCUUGCAAAAUUCAAUCUACAAGACUGAUGGCGGAGAGAAUCAAAGUUGGAAACUUGCAUGUAGUGACUCAAAUUUUCACAUCAUGCAAUGCUUAAACACUACAAAAUAUGGCGUCAAGAAGCAAGAAGGCAGUAGAAAAUGCCAUUUUCCCAUUAAACAGACUUGUUGGCGUCGUGCCACUAAUUGGUCGCUGGCAAUAACCCAAGUGACAAUCUCGUCACACCUUCUUUUAACAUAAUAGUCAGUAAUUAUUAUUCUAUUAUAUUCAUCUUCUUAUUUGAGAAUGUCUUGAGCAGUCCAAUUUACAUACUGGUGAUAUUCUUUUAACCAUAAGCUGAAGAAUAGAAAAAUGUAGGUUAAUAGUAAUUAUAUCCGUGGGUCAAAACACUCAUCGCUGUUUUAAACCAGAUGUUAUUGCUAUGAAUAGUGUGUCCAAAGACUAUUUUUAUUUUACAUAUAGGUUUCUAUGGAGGAAGAGACGAACCUAAAAAAUCAUCUUUCAUGUUCAACGUUGGCCAAGGGCAAUUUGUUGAAAUUCCAAAUCUUCUACAUGGAGUUUUCUCUGUGAUGCGUUGAUUAGAAUUUAUAUAGUGCACCAACGGCACACUUGGGGUCCGGCAAACAUUAGGCAAAGUUGACUGCAGCUUUUAUCCAGAACACCCCCCACCCCACCCCACCCCACGAAAAUCACAUACUUUCUAGAGUUUAAUUGCUUAAUCAAGUUAAACGAACUUGUGUAACUGUCAAUUUUCUAGAAGUCAUAGCUUCUAAAUUCUACAUUUUCUCCCUUUUUAAUGAUGAUAAACGAUACACAAUCACACACAAGAAGUAGAUCAUAAGAUUAACUUCUGACUAUGAAAUUCAUUUGAUUUUCUUAUUAACCAACUCAGGCUUGGCUAGUACUUCCAACAAACAGUUGACCUGCAAUCUCAACUCAUUCCUCCCAUUCACCUUUUAACCCCCAAAAUCUAAAUAUAUAGAAUUAAAUUGGUGGGCAAAUGAAAAUCAACCAAACUUAUCACCGUUAAAGUUAUUUCAGACGAAGUUUAUGAGCUAAGCCAGUCAAAUACAGCUGAAGAAGCAAAAUAAACGCAAAAUCCAUCAACCAAAUCAGUUAGAUAAGCUACAGCAGUCAGCAGAACAUAACUGAAGAUGCAAAAUAAAUGCAAAAUCCAUCAACCAAAUUGAAAUAGUAAAGCACAAAUUGAAAACUAACCACGGCAAAAUGCACAGAAGCGUGGCGAUAAUGAAAAUUUUAGUCACCUAAACCAUCAAUUAACUGAUACAUGACCAUGGAUGAAAUUGACAAAAGCAAGAGAAUGAUUCGAUAAAAUUUGUGGACAUAUGAGGCGAUAAUGAAAAUUUUAGUCACCUAAACCAUCAAUUAACUGAUACAUGACCAUGGAUGAAAUUGACAAAAGCAAGAGAAUGAUUCGAUAAAAUUUGUGGACAUAUGACUGCAAUCAUCGUGUCAUGGCUAGAAAUUGAUGCAACUUAGACAAGGAAAUGAAAAAAUGUCCCUCCCCGGUGAAGCAGGCAUGUCGAUACUUGCUUGAGUCCAACUGCCUCUUGCUAGAUAUCGAUGGCUGUGCCAUCACGGCCCAAUAUAUGUUUUUAAUUAUUGUAAUUUAUAAAA
rnacentral:lncRNA from 1 species